rnacentral:rRNA from 1 species
UGGUGGGUUGCCUUGUCAGGUUGAUUCCGGUAACGAACGAGACCUCAGCCUGCUAAAUAGCCACGUCUGGUGCUUCCAGGCGGCCGGCUUCUUAGAGGGACUGUCGGCGACUAGCCGAUGGAAGUGUGAGGCAAUAACA